AGCAGCCGCGGUAAUUCCAGCUCCAAUAGCGUAUAUUAAAGUUGUUGCAGUUAAAAAGCUCGUAGUUGAAUUUCGGGAUCAGUACGCUGGUCGUGCCUCUGGUAUGUACUGGUGUCACUGAUUCCUCCCUUCUGACGAACCAUCAUGCCAUUCACUUGGUGUGGUGGGAAAUCAGGACUGUUACUUUGAAAAAUUAGAGUGUUUAAAGCAGGCUCACGCUUGAAUACAUUAGCAUGGAAUAAUGAAAUAGGACGUUGAUCCUAUUUUGUUGGUUUCUAGGAUUGACGUAAUGAUUAAUAGGGAUAGUUGGGGGCAUUAGUAUUCAAUUGUCAGAGGUGAAAUUCUUGGAUUUAUUGAAGACUAACUACUGCGAAAGCAUUUGCCAAGGAUGUUUUCAUUAAUCAAGAACGAAAGUUAGGGGAUCGAAGACGAUCAGAUACCGUCGUAGUC
rnacentral:rRNA from 1 species